UCCGGUUGAUCCUGCCGGACCUGACUGCUAUCGGAUUGAUACUAAGCCAUGCGAGUCAUUGUAGCAAUACAAGGCAGACGGCUCAGUAACGCGUAGUCAACCUACCCUAUGGACGGGAAUAACCUCGGGAAACUGAGUAUAAUGCCCGAUAGAACACUAUACCUGGAAUGGUUUGUGUUCCAAAUGAUUUAUCGCCAUAGGAUGGGACUGCGGCCUAUCAGUUUGUUGGUGAGGUAAUGGCCCACCAAGACUAUUACAGGUACGGGCUCUGAGAGGAGUGGCCCGGAGAUGGGUACUGAGACACGGACCCAGGCCCUAUGGGGCGCAGCAGGCGAGAAAACUUUGCAAUGUGCGAAAGCACGACAAGGUUAAUCCGAGUGGUUUCUGCUAAAGGAACCUUUUGACAGUCCUAGAAACACUGUUGAAUAAGGGGUGGGCAAGUUCUGGUGUCAGCCGCCGCGGUAAAACCAGCACCUCAAGUGGUCAGGAUGAUUAUUGGGCCUAAAGCAUCCGUAGCCGGCUCUGUAAGUUUUCGGUUAAAUCUGUACGCUUAACGUACAGGCUGCUGGGAAUACUGCAGAGCUA
rnacentral:rRNA from 1 species